AUUCCAUCAGUGCAGCCCAUGUAUGGAAGUAGAAGGGCCUGUAACCUAGACGUUUCAUUAAUAGAUUGUAAGUGAUUGUGACAAAUUGAUAAGAGUAAAGAAUACAAAAGUGUAUGAAAAAAUUAAGACCUUCAUGAAAAUAAUGUUACAUGAUGCAUAGUUUAUAUAUAGAAUAAAUCAACAUAAUUUUUUAAACUAGCAUAGAAUAUUAUAUAAUAGAUACUGAUAAAUUUUCUAUUCCAAUAUAUUGAUGUAUAUCCUAAUAUUCACUGUUGGAUUAAGUCGAUGUUCUAGAUCUUCCAAUACCCUCUC
rnacentral:lncRNA from 1 species